AAGCGGAAAAGGGCACACGGUGGAUGCCUUGGCAUGCAGAGGCGAUGAAGGACGUGUAAAGCUGCGAUAAGCUACGGGGAACUGCAAAAAAGUGUAGAUCCGUAGAUUUCCGAAUGGGGCAACCCAAUAGAGCCCACCUUGAGUGGGAGGCAUACCCGGGGAACUGAAACAUCUAAGUACC
rnacentral:rRNA from 16 species